rnacentral:rRNA from 1 species
UGAGGAAUAUUGGACAAUGGGUGAGAGCCUGAUCCAGCCAUCCCGCGUGAAGGACGACGGUUCUAUGGAUUGUAAACUUCUUUUGUACAGGGAUAAACCUACCCUCGUGAGGGUAGCUGAAGGUACUGUACGAAUAAGCACCGGCUAACUCCGUGCCAGCAGCCGCGGUAAUACGGAGGGUGCAAGCGUUAUCCGGAUUUAUUGGGUUUAAAGGGUCCGUAGGCGGGCUUAUAAGUCAGUGGUGAAAGCCGGCAGCUUAACUGUCGAACUGCCAUUGAUACUGUAAGUCUUGAGUGUAUUUGAAGUGGCUGGAAUAAGUAGUGUAGCGGUGAAAUGCAUAGAUAUUACUUAGAACACCAAUUGCGAAGGCAGGUCACUAAGAUACAACUGACGCUGAUGGACGAAAGCGUGGGGAGCGAACAGG